UAUUCUCGAGAAGAUGCACACAAGGUGUGUGGCGUCGCCCCAUCAACAAGAUAGAGAGAUCUUUUGAUGGUUUUGUAGAAGAGCUACACUAGUCGGAAAAGACAAUUAGUGGUAGUCUUCUUUCAUUGUAAUUCUAGGAAAGAGUUGGUGGAUUCCAUAUAGCAAUUGUAGGUUGCGAACUUUUCUAGUUAAUGAAGUCUGGACUAGGUCCCGGGGAUGUAGGUUAUCUGAACCCCGUUAGCAAAGCUUGUGUCUUAUUUACUUUAUGCUCAUACAUACUCGAAGUAGAUCGUACACAUAGUUGAAUUAGUCACACAUAUGCACUUUCAUAAAGCACAAAAAAAACGUUACCGUUGUAGAGAAAGUUGACCGCAUGACUAAUAUUGGGCUUCUCCUUUUUGAUUGAAAUAGAGGUCUUAUCCAAGUUGUCUUGAUACAGAGUGAUAUUGCUUUUACCCUCCUUCCAACUUGAGGUAGGUGGCACACCAAUAGAAAAAAUUGAUCCAUAGUGGUAUUGCUUUUAUUCUUCAAACAAUUGAUGCAUAGUAACUAUAUUUCAGAUGCUUACUAGGUAACUCUAAUGUUUUUGGAUCAGUAGUCUAUUUUCAGGUAAUGAAAUUGUGAGGAGUUUCAUGUUCGUUGCGUGAUGAUAGAAACAUUGGCACCAUUCGGAGGCUUUGCGUUCAUUGCAGCAUAGACGACAACCCUACUUUCUUAAACAAUCUAAAAACCAUUUAUAUUUGGUCAAGCUUAUCCGACAUAUGUACUCAUUGUUUACUCCCUAUAGGAGAUUGCUUAAUGCAAUUUUGUGUUGACAUCUUCCUUUACUUGUUCACUUUGUUGCUGAAGGGAUUAGGUAAAUGACCGGAUUAAUGUAAUCUUAUUACCAUAC
rnacentral:lncRNA from 1 species